rnacentral:rRNA from 1 species
UGCCAGACUCCUACGGGAGGCAGCAGUGGGGAAUAUUGCACAAUGGGGGGAACCCUGAUGCAGCGACGCCGCGUGAGUGAAGAAGUAUUUCGGUAUGUAAAGCUCUAUCAGCAGGGAAGAAAAUGACGGUACCUGACUAAGAAGCCCCGGCUAACUACGUGCCAGCAGCCGCGGUAAUACGUAGGGGGCAAGCGUUAUCCGGAUUCACUGGGUGUAAAGGGAGCGUAGACGGCCAUGCAAGCCUGGAGUGAAAGCCCGGGGCCCAACCCCGGGACUGCUCUGGGAACUGUGCGGCUGGAGUGCGGGAGGGGCAGGCGGAAUUCCUGGUGUAGCGGUGAAAUGCGUAGAUAUCAGGAGGAACACCGGCGGCGAAGGCGGCCUGCUGGACCGCGACUGACGUUGAGGCUCGAAAGCGUGGGGAGCAAACAGGAUUAGAUACCCCUGUAGUU